CAGCAGCCGCGGUAAUGCGUAGGUGGCAAGCGUUGUCCGGAAUUAUUGGGCGUAAAGGGCUCGCAGGCGGUUUCUUAAGUCUGAUGUGAAAGCCCCCGGCUCAACCGGGGAGGGUCAUUGGAAACUGGGAAACUUGAGUGCUGAAGAGGAGAGUGGAAUUCCACGUGUAGCGGUGAAAUGCGUAGAGAUGUGGAGGAACACCAGUGGCGAAGGCGACUCUCUGGUCUGUAACUGACGCUGAGGAGCGAAAGCGUGGGGAGCAAACAGGAUUAGAUACCCCAGUAGUCCCUGUCUCUUAUAC
rnacentral:rRNA from 1 species